AUACGGAGGGUGCAAGCGUUAAUCGGAAUUACCGGGCGUAAAGCGUACGUAGGCGGUUCGUUAAGUUAGAUGUGAAAGCCCCGGGCUUAACCUGGGAACUGCAUUUAAAACUGGCGAACUAGAGUUGAGUAGAGGGGAGUGGAAUUUCAGGUGUAGCGGUGAAAUGCGUAGAGAUCUGAAGGAACACCAGUGGCGAAGGCGACUCCCUGGACUCGAACUGACGCGGAGGUACGAAAGCGUGGGUAGCAAACAGGAUUAGAUACCCUAGUAGUCC
rnacentral:rRNA from 1 species